CGUCAAUCGUUCACUCUCGUCUCCGCCGCUCAAAAUUUCUUCCAAUUUCCGCAGUCUGAUUUCUCCCGUUGGAUAAGUUUUUUUUUCUCCGUGAUGAUGGAUAUCGAUGACGAGUCCGAUCUCUAAUCCAUUCACCCGUGACGACAAAACGAGGCAUUUGUCUGAGAGAAAUUCAACCUCCUUUUAUUUUCUUUUUUUCCCUUUUCUGUAAUGAAUGAUUAUUUAUCUUAUUCCUUCUCCGCCGCACUUUCUGUUUAGUUCGAAUUUCUUCUUUUGCGACCGAAGCUCUCGUUUAGUUCAAGGAACCGUUUUGUGUAGAAUUCGGAUUCAAUCUUUUGUUUCAGAUGAAAAAGACAAAUUUGAUUGGAUAGUUUUCUUCUGAAAAACAAAUUUUUAUUCAAGGUUUUCAUUUAUUUAGAGGUUUUUUUCUCGGUGAUGAUUCAAAUCGAUGACGAGUCCGAUCUCUAAUCCAUUCACCUCUGACGACAAAACGAGGCAUUUGUCUGAGAGAAAUCAAACCUCACCAAUUCUUUUGUUUUGUUUCCUUGUCGAAGAUUUGCCCAAACCUUAGAAAUCUUGACACUCCAAGACGAAGAACCACAUCGUUCAAAUGCUAAUGGUUAAUUUGGAGGCCGAUGAUUCCUUCAUAAUAAUUAAUUGCAGUCUUUGCCUAUAAAUAUUAAAGGUUAAAUUACAGAAAUUGGACGUUUAGAAUUUUAUUUGAUACGUUUAUGUUACAUUUUGACGGAAGUGCAUUUUUCAAAACAAAACCUAAUGCUAAUUAGUUUAUGGUAAAGCUCAACGUUUUCAAUUUUUUAUCAAAGUUCUAACAAAAAGAACUUUUUUAUUUCAAGAUGUUUUCUCAAAAUCUACCAUUUUCAACUAAUAUCUUACAAAAUAUAUUACUUGCUAUGCAUAUAAGUUUAUAUAAUUUUAAACAUUCUCUCAAAAUCUUCUAUUUGAAUUGCCAAAUCCACAAUUGUUUGAAAUUUCGUAUUGAGCUUUUCUGCGUACAACUGGGCCCAUUGGACUCCAAUGGGCCGAGGUUUACCCACUGAGAUGGGCAAUUUCGUCUUUCAUAGUAAGAGGGCAUGGACCGGAUCGGUAAGCCCUAGCUUCAGUCUCCCCAUAAGUAGUAAGAUGUUCCACCGUAACCAGGAAGUGAUCUGCUCCGUUUUCUUCAGCUUUGGCUUCGCCGCGCGGUUCUGUCUUUGAAUUUCUGCAUGCGAAUGCCUUGGGGUUUUUCUCGAUCGAUUGUAUUUUGUUUAUAUUUAGUUAGCAAUGUGGAGGUUUUUCUCUGUGAUGAUGAAAAAUUGAUGACGAGUCCGAUCUCUAAUCCAUUUACCCCUGACGACAAAACGAGGCAUUUGUCUGAGAGAAUUUCAACCUCCUUUUCAUUUUCUUCUUUCUUUUACAUUAUGAAUUACUCUUUUUCUUCUUCCUUUUCGGCGGCUCUGGCCAUUGUUAGAGGUUUUAUUGAGGUUUUGAAGAUAGUUUUCCAUUAUUUUGCUUGAUAAUCAUCAUCACGAUUAUCUGUCCAGGAUGAUUUCGAUUUCUGAUUUUCUUGUGCAGAUCUUCUGAUGUGUUUUUUUUUUCUUUUCUUUCAAGUAUUUCUCAUUUUAAUAUAUGGCAGUGGCAUGUGCACAAGCACAAGUGCGGCGAUGAUGAGGAUACAGACUCAAGUUUAAUUGAAACUGAGAUUGGUUCUGUGAUUAUUUCUCAAGCACUUUUGAGCCGUACUGGUACUUGUAAAUUGGCAGCCAAGUUUCUUGAUGCAUUGCGCCGCCUCCGUAGAAUGUUUUUCUGUUGCUUCCUUUUUCUUGAUGCAUUAAACCUAGCUACUUCCAAACCCUAAAACCUCUAGCCAAGUUUCAAUUAAAACUUGUAUACAUACCAAAUUCAUACAAAACAUUAAUGUCAAAGAAAAUCUAGGUUAACCAAUUGAAAUUUCAUAUUCAAAUGUACCUUGUCAGAGUAUACGUAAGAAUUUGAUGUACUUUCCACUCGUGGAAUAUUUUUCAAAUAUUUUGAAUCCCCAAGAAUAUUUCAUUGAA